rnacentral:rRNA from 1 species
CAGAUCAGAAUGCUGCGGUGAAUACGUUCCCGGGUCUUGUACACACCGCCCGUCACACCAUGGGAGUUGGAAAUGCCCGAAGCCAGUGACCCAACCGUAAGGAGGGAGCUGUCGAAGGUGGAGCCGAUGACUGGGGUGAAGUCGUAACAAGGUAAC